UACGAAGGGGGCUAGCGUUGCUCGGAAUUACUGGGCGUAAAGCGCACGUAGGCGGAUUGUUAAGUCGGGGGUGAAAUCCUGGAGCUCAACUCCAGAACUGCCUUCGAUACUGGCGAUCUCGAGUUCGGGAGAGGUGAGUGGAACUGCGAGUGUAGAGGUGAAAUUCGUAGAUAUACGCAAGAACACCAGUGGCGAAGGCGGCUCACUGGCCCGAUACUGACGCUGAGGUGCGAAAGCGUGGGGAGCAAACAGG
rnacentral:rRNA from 1 species